AUUGAACGCUGGCGUCAGGCCUAACACAUGCAAGUCGAGCGGAGCGGCGGACGGGUGAGUAUUGUCUAGGAAUCUGCCUGGUCGUGGGGGAUAACGUCCGGUCACGGGCCCUAAUACCGCUUUCUCUCAGAUGAGCCUAGGUCGGAUUAGCGCGUGGGCGGGGUAAAGGCCUACCAAGGCGACGAGCCGUAACUGGGCUGAGCGGAUGAUCAGUCACACUGGAACUGAGACACGGUCCAGACUCCUACGGGAGGCAGCAGGGGGGAAUAUUGGACAAUGGGCGAAAGCCUGAUCCAGCCAUGCCGCGUGUGUGAAGAAGGUCUUCGGAUUGUAAAGCACUUUAAGUUGGGAGGCGUGACCAGCAGAAGAAGCACCGGCUAACUUCGUGCCAGCAGCCGCGGUAAUUC
rnacentral:rRNA from 1 species